AUUCGUUUGCCUACAGCAAAGAGGAAGACGGCAAUUGAUAAUUUGAUUUCAAGUGAACCUAAGAAACCGUAGUCCACAGCGGAAGAGAGAGCACAGCAGAUCAAUCAUGGAAGUUCAGGGCUCCUCGAAGAAGAUGAUAGCCACCCAGGCUGAGAUGGUCGAGGCUAGGGUUCCAAUUCCUUACAGAGAUCAGUGCGCUCACUUGUUGAUCCCUCUUAAUAAAUGCCGCCAAUCCGAGUUCUACCUCCCAUGGAAAUGCGAAGACGAGCGCCAUUCCUACGAGAAGUGUGAAUAUGAGCUCGUUAUGGAGAGGAUGCUUCAGAUGCAAAAGAUCCGUGAGGAACAGGCCAAGUUGAAGAAGGGUAUUCAUCUCAUUCCCAAAACUGCCAAUGUAUGACCCCAUUCUUCAAUUAGGAAGCAGUAAAUUGCUGAGAUAUGUGAAGUUUCACUAUUUUCCGGCACCAGCAAUGGGAAGGCAUUUGAUACUGUUUGGUCGAUUGUAAAAACUCGUAGUUUUCCGAAAUCUUUAAAUCUUGUCAGAAUCCUCUAUUCGGGAUUUGGAAUAAAGUUACCCCUUGAGCAAAGAAGUGUAAACUUCAGCCUUUGUUUUUUUGAUUAAAUAUCAUUUAUGUCGAUGUGUACUGUGAUCCUGAAUAUCAUUUUGCUUUGUGGAUUGUUCCAAAAUGUCUCUAAUUUUGGAUAUCUUUGUGCUCUUCAUAAUCAUCUCAUUACUUAUUAUGUAUAACAAUAAUGUAAAUCACCGGUUGACUCAUUUCUGUCGAAGUUGAAUUAUAUUUAUUCUUACGCUU